UACAGAGGUGGCAAGCGUUGUUCGGAAUCACUGGGCGUAAAGGGCGUGUAGGCGGUCCACUAAGUCUGAUGUGAAAGCCCGGGGCUCACCCCCGGAAGUGCAUUGGAAACUGGCGGACUCGAGUCCCGGAGAGGAGAGUGGAAUUCCUGGUGUAGCGGUGAAAUGCGUAGAUAUCAGGAGGAACACCGGUGGCGAAGGCGGCUCUCUGGACGGUGACUGACGCUGAGACGCGAAAGCGUGGGGAGCAAACAGG
rnacentral:rRNA from 1 species